GAUGAAGAACGCAGCGAAAUGCGAUACUUGGUGUGAAUUGCAGAAUCCCGUGAACCAUCGAGUCUUUGAACGCAAGUUGCGCCCGAAGCCAUUAGGCCGAGGGCACGCCUGCCUGGGCGUCACACGUCGUUGCCCCCCCAUCUACUCCUUCGGGAUUGCGGGGGGCGGAUGAUGGCCUCCCGUGCGCCUCGUCGCGCGGUUGGCAUAAAUGCCAAGUCCUCGGCGACGCACGCCACGACGAUCGGUGGUUGCGAAACCUCGGUUGCCCGUCGUGUGCGGUCGUCGCGCAUCGAGGGCUCGAAAAAAUUGCCGGGCUCCGGCUCGGCUUUCAACGCGACCCCAGGUCAGGCGGAGUUACCCGCUGAAUUUAAGCAUAUCAAUAAGCGGAGGA
rnacentral:misc_RNA from 1 species